rnacentral:rRNA from 1 species
UACGUAGGGUGCAAGCGUUGUCCGGAAUUAUUGGGCGUAAAGGGCGCGUAGGCGGUGCCACAAGUCACCUGUGAAAUCUCCGGGCUUAACUCGGAGCCUGCAGGCGAAACUGUGGUGCUGGAGUGUGGGAGAGGUGCGUGGAAUUCCCGGUGUAGCGGUGAAAUGCGUAGAUAUGCGGAGGAACACCGAUGGCGAAGGCAAUCCCCUGGACCUCGUACUGACGCUCAUGCACGAAAGCGUGGGGAGCAAACAGG